UACGUAGGGGGCAAGCGUUGUCCGGAAUCAUUGGGCGUAAAGCGCGCGUCGGCGGCCCGGUCAGUCCGUUGUGAAAGUCAGAGGCUCAACCUCUGGAGGCCAAUGGAUACUGCCAGGCUAGAGUCCGGAAGAGGCGAGUGGAAUUCCUGGUGUAGCGGUGGAAUGCGCAGAUAUCAGGAGGAACACCAAUGGCGAAGGCAGCUCGCUGGGACGGUACUGACGCUGAGGUGCGAAAGCGUGGGGAGCGAACAGG
rnacentral:rRNA from 1 species